rnacentral:rRNA from 1 species
UACGUAGGGACCAAGCGUUGUCCGGAAUCAUUGGGCGUAAAGAGCGUGUAGGCGGCUUGUUAAGUCUUGCGUGAAAUCUCGGGGCUCAACCCCGAGCGGUCGUGAGAAACUGGCAGGCUAGAGUGCGGGAGAGGAGAGUGGAAUUCCUAGUGUAGCGGUGAAAUGCGCAGAUAUCAGGAAGAACACCCGUGGCGAAGGCGGCUCUCUGGAACGCAACUGACGCUGAGACGCGAAAGCGUGGGGAGCAAACAGG